rnacentral:rRNA from 1 species
GACUUUAAUUGCUGUAAUUUUCCUUUUUUGUUUUUUUUUUUUAUUUUGGUUUUGUGAAAUAGGUUAAUUUUUAUAUUAUUUGGGGGAAUUUUGAAAUUUUGCUUAAUGAACUGGAUUAGUACCCAGGUAAUCAAAGUUAAUUAAUGCGGGAGUAAAUUUUUAUUUAAACCGAAAAAAUAUUGACUGACUUUAGAUUUUUCUUUGGAACAUGUGGAGACUGGAGAGUCCUCCUUUAUAGAUUAUUUUGUUGGCACAUGUAUGAUUGUUUUUUUCUAUAUUUUUUAUGGUAUUAUUUUAUUUUAUAUUUUAUAACAGAUAUAUACUUGGUUUAUGGGUUUUAUUUUCAUGUGUUACUAUUUUAAAUUUUAUUUGGAUUUAAUUUUUAUUUUUUAUUGAAAUUGGAAAAGAAAGUAAUUGUCUCUUGAUGUAUU